GAUGAACGCUGGCGGCGUGCCUAAUACAUGCCAGUAGAACGCUGAAGCUUGGUGCUUGCACCGAGCGGAUGAGUUGCGAACGGGUGAGUAACGCGUAGGUAACCUGCCUCUUAGCGGGGGAUAACUAUUGGAAACGAUAGCUAAUACCGCAUAAAAGUCGAUAUCGCAUGAUAUUGAUUUGAAAGGUGCAAAUGCAUCACUAAGAGAUGGACCUGCGUUGUAUUAGCUAGUUGGUGAGGUAACGGCUCACCAAGGCGACGAUACAUAGCCGACCUGAGAGGGUGAUCGGCCACACUGGGACUGAGACACGGCCCAGACUCCUACGGGAGGCAGCAGUAGGGAAUCUUCGGCAAUGGGGGCAACCCUGACCGAGCAACGCCGCGUGAGUGAAGAAGGUUUUCGGAUCGUAAAGCUCUGUUGUAAGAGAAGAACGAGUGUGAGAGUGGAAAGUUCACACUGUGGCGGUAACUUACCAGAAAGGGACGGCUAACUACGUG
rnacentral:rRNA from 1 species